CUUUUUGGUAAAGUUAUAUUUUCAGAUAUUAACCGACGCGUUCGGCUUUAAGACCCAGUUGAAGCCCGGUCCAUCCAUCCAAUUUCCAAAUAUUAACCGACGCGCUCGGCUUCAAGAACCAGCUGUCCAUCCAUCCAGUGUCGCAGACAGUCACUGACAUGGAAGAAGGAUGCUAUGGAUUCAUAUGUAAGGGAAACACUUCAGAAGUGGUACAUUGAAACAUUAAUCGACAGAUUUGCAGACACUCUUGGAUCCUGCAAGCUAUCCUUCCUCCAUUGCCAUUCAAAAAGGGCUACAAGAUGGUUCGGCCCUCUUACCAGGAGGCAAAACAACCAUUUGUUGAUUUACAGCUU